GGAUGUGAGGGCGAUCUGGCUGCGACAUCUGUCACCCCAUUGAUCGCCAGGGUUGAUUCGGCUGAUCUGGCUGGCUAGGCGGGUGUCCCCUUCCUCCCUCACCGCUCCAUGUGCGUCCCUCCCGAAGCUGCGCGCUCGGUCGAAGAGGACGACCAUCCCCGAUAGAGGAGGACCGUUCUUCGGUCAAGGGUAUACGAGUAGCUGCGCUCCCCUGCUAGAACCUCCAAACAAGCUCUCAAGGAUAUGAAAAAAGUCAAAUUGGCCACUGUGUUGGGAAAGGACUGUAGGAGGGCAACAUAGGAAAUACUGCUACCAAUCAGAGAACUACUGUGAAUGUCCAGGU
rnacentral:snRNA from 1 species